AUUAAGUUCAUUUAAUUUUAUUGUAGUUUAAGUGUAAAUUAAUUUUUGGUUUAAUAAUUUUUAAAAUAAAUUAUUUAUAAAUUUGACUGUGGAGGAUAGAAGGUGUAAAUAUUUAUAUAAUUUUUAAUAAGGAAAUUUUUUUAUUGUACCUUUUGUAUCAGGGUUUAUUAAUUUUUUUUAAGGAAUUUAAUUUUCCCGAAAUUCUAAGAUUUUAAUUUUUUUUGGCUUUAAUUGUUACAAAAAUUUUGAUAAAAUAAAUUAAGAUUCGAAAUGAAAAUCGUUUAGUCUGAUAUCUGGUUAUUUUGUAAUUAAAUUUAAUUUAGGUGAUUCUUGUAUAAAAUUUCUUUUUUAAAAUAUUUUUUGUCACAAAUUUAAUUUAGGUUAAUCUAAUUUAAUUUUUAUAAUUUUUUUAUUGGGGGGGGGUAAAGAAAUUGUAGGAUUAAAAUUUUUUUUCUUAAUAAAUUUGUUUUAAAUUAUUCUUUUUAUAAAAGUUAUUUAAUUUUUCACAAAAUUUUUAUAUCAAAUUAUUUUUAUUAAAAAUUAUGAUUAAAUUAGUAAAUUUAAAUUUUUGUUAUAUGAAUUAGGCAAUUUUUUUUUCUGUCUGUUUAUCAAAAACAUUUCUUUUAGGUUAAUAUUAAAAGUUAGGCCUGCUCAGUGAAUUUUAUUUAAAUAGCUGCAGUAUUUUAACUGUACAAAGGUAGCAUAAUAAAUAGUCUUUUAAUUGAGGUCUAGAAUGAAGGGUUUAACAAGAAAAAUACUUUAUUUGAUUUAAAUAUUUGAAUUUAAUUUUUUAGUUAAAAAGCUAAAAUUUUUAAAUGGGACGAUAAGACCCUAUAGAUCUUUAAAUUUUUAAUAUUAAAUAUAUUUUAGUUAAUUUAAGAUUUUAGAUAAAAAUUUUUUGUUGGGGUGACAAAUAAAAUUUUAAGACUUUAUUUCUUUGAAACAUAUAUUUAUGGUUAAGAUGAUCCUAAUUUUUUGGAUUAUAAGGAUAAGAUACCUUAGGGAUAACAGCGUUAUAAAUUUGUAUAGUUCACAUAAAUAAAUUUUUUACGACCUCGAUGUUGAAUUAAUUAAAAUUCUUGGAGCAGAAGUUAAGAUUUUAGGUCUGUUCGACCUUUAAAAUAUUACAUGAUUUGAGUUCAAACCGGUGUGAGCCAGGUUGGUUUCUAUCUAUUUAAAUUUAGUUUAAUUAGUACGAAAGGACUUUUAAAUUUGGAAUAUUUUCU
rnacentral:rRNA from 1 species